CUCUGUCUCAAAAAAAAAAAAAAAAAAAAAAAAACCCAAGAAGGUGAGGGCAAAUUCAGAAGCUAUAGAGUGGAAAUAUGUAAUUUUUGAGGUAAAAUUUAACAAAGAUUCCCUGAGGAAAAGAUGUGCGUAGGGAGAGAACAGCAUGAUGCCAGUGAAAACAAACUGGGAACAGGCAGUUAAGCAGGAUCGAAUACCAUUUCUUUCUUAGGCGUUUCUGUGACAUUUAAAGCUUAUUUGGUUAAAGGCUUUACUCAGCAAAGGAUAUAUCUGUGAGGUUUCCACAAUUUUCUCUAUUUGGAUUACAAUUCCUGUUGUUCCUGGACUGCAUCUUCACAUGCUAAGUAUGUAAAGUCCAUGAUACCUCAAGUUGUGUUAGAUAUCAGAAAUCCUGAGUCUUCGAUGUUUAGUUUGCUCUUAGAUAUCAGGAUAGCCCACCAACUCUCAGUAGCUUAGUGAGUUAAGUCAGGGGUCAAAAAACUACCCCCUGUGGGCCCAAUCCAGCCCACUUCCUUAAAGGUUUAUUAGAAUAUAGCAAUGCCUGUGUUUUAGUGUAUUAUCUAUGCUUUCUUGCUGCAGUGUCAAAAUUUAGUAGUUGUGACAAAAACUAUGGACCACAAAAUCUAAAAUAUGUGCUUUCUGGCCCUUUACAGAAAAACGUGUACUAAGCCUUAUGUUAAACCAAAUGAUUUGUCUCCCAUAACUUAAAAAAGACCCCAGGUAGAGCAGGACUUAGACCUGCUUCUGUCAGGAUUCCAAAAUGAUUUUUUUUGAUUCUCAUAUCUGCCCUUCUGGUUAACCCUGGUCUUUAGGUUCAAGAUGGGGCUAGCAACCAGGGAGCACCUAUCUUUUCUUUUCAGUCAGUGGAAGGGAGGUGCUCUUUCAUUUGUAGUGUUAGGUAGUUUACUACUCACAGUGUUUGUGGCUCCUCUGGCCUUGAUUCUCAUCUACACUCAAGAUUAGACAGCUAGUUGUGUGUCCAGUUCUUUUGGCCUUUGUGAACUAUCAAGUUUCAACUCAGCCAGGUGCAGUGGCUCACACCUGUAAUCCCAGCCCUUUGGGAGGCUGAGGUGGGAGGAUCUCUUGAGCUCAGGGGUUCAAGAUUAGCCUGGGCAAUAUAGUGAGACCCUGUCUCUCCAAAAAAAGUUUUAAAAGUUAGCUAGCCAUGGAGGCACACAUGUGUGGUUCCAGGUACUCAGGAAGCUGAGAUGGAGGGAUCACUUGAGCCCAGGAGGUUAAGGCUGCAGUGAGCUGUGGUCCCAACACUGAACUGCAGCCUGGUGACAGAGUUGAGACACUGUCUCAAGAAAAAAAUAAGUUUCAUCUCUCCCUUGCACCAUGGACUCAACUUCCCUAUUUUGAGCCUCCAGGAGAUUUUUCUAUCUUAGCUUUUAGCUUGGCUGCAUAUUAACAUUUGGGAGAAUUUGUUAUAUAUUAUCAGGAUUCCUUUGUUUUUGAGAAAGAGGGAUGCAAAGCCAAAAUCAGCGGCUGAAUGACAACACAUUUAAUUCAGAACUUUUAGGGUGUCUUAUGUCACAAGGCAUCAAUGAGAAGGAAUGGAAUCCUGAAAAAUUUGGGAACAGAUGAGCAGAUUCCAACAAAGCUGAGGGUUUUGCUCAAUCUAGCUGAGCAUCUCUUGCCGUUAGAAGGAGCCCUUCUUCCUCUAUUUGAAGUCAGUCUCCCUUGCCUGAAAAGCCUGUGAUGACCUUCCCUGAGAUGGUUUCCUUGCAAAAGGCUUUAGAUCCUCAAGACUUGCUUCCACUACCUCUCAUUUUUCUAGACCAAUAAUGAAACUCGGGUCUUCACAGACAAUGGGAGGAGUCACCAAGUAGAAAAUACGACCAUGAGGAGAUACAUCGCCAAAGUAAUCUUAUGAGGGAAGUGGACCAAAUUUUGGGUAUAUGUGCAUGAGAACCUUCUUUUCAUCACCUUCCCUGGCUCCAUUUGUCCUGCUACGGUGACACCAGUCUUUUAGUCCAUACAUUUGACUUCAUGAGGAGUUUGCUAUAAUCAAUUGAAUGAAGAAGAAACAUGUGGACCUGCUUUAUAGGUAAUUCUGCAUAAUGUUCUAGCAUCACCUAAAACCGGACAGCUGGCACACUACAGCCUCAGGCUGUGGUGGCCCCAAAGGAGAGUGGUAAAAGAAAAUAUUCCCAUUUGUUAGAAUUUUGAGUAGUGUACUUCAUAGUUUUUUUUUUUCCCAGAAGGAAUGAUGCCAGGGGGAUGAAUAGUUUUGCUGGAUGGUCAUGGACUUCAAAGAAGCAUGAUUGAUAAUUGGUUGACAAGGCAAAUUGACAAUGAGGUAUGUGAGUGGACUACUUUUAAUGAGCAGAAUAUAAAAUUACUUGCGGCCUAUUUAAUUGUCAAUAAUCAGCAACCUCACCAGAAGAUGAGCUUAAUAAUCAGGUGAUCAAGAUGGUACAUUCUGUGAAUAUUCUUCAAGAUUUUUCUCUAGUCAACCAUGUCCAUUCCCAGUGGGUGCAUGAACAGUGUAGUCAUGGUGGAAGAAAUGGAGCUUAUUAGUUCAGUACUAUGAAAUUCCAUUUACUAAAUCCAAUCUGGCUACAACCACAUUUAUAUGGCCAAGCUAUCAAAAGUAUGGACUAACACUGGACCUCAGAUAGGCACUGUUCUUCAAAGGGGACUACCAACCUCCUGCUGGAAUUUGAUUACACCGGACCACUUUGAUCAUGGAGGAGACAGCACUUUGUUUUCAGUGGAAAAGACAAUUACUCUAGAUAUGAAUUUGCCUUUCCUAUUCCAAUGUUUCUGAUAAAAGCAUCACAUGUGGACUUUACAAAAUGUUUUAUUUUCUGCCAUGGAAUUCCACCCAGCAUUUCUUGUGACCAGGGCAGUCAUUUUUCAAAAAAUGAAUUGUAUCCAUUGGGCUCAUGUUGAUAGAAUUCACUAAACUUACCAUGAUUCCUGUUAACAGUUCCAUUUCAGUAGUGGGACAUGCCUCAAUUCUCAGAAGUCCUACCAUCUCUGAUUUGUCUUCCCAUGUUUGUUUACCUAAUUCCUACUUUAAAAUGUCCUUGUCCCUAAAAUCCUAGUGAUUCUGCUUCUCUGAUUGAACCCUGACUGAUAUUGAACCAUUUCUGCUCCUUUUCAGACACUACCCCUCUCUCUCAACUAUAAUCACUUUCCUAACUUCUAUCACCAUUGACUACUUUUCCUUUUAUCUUUAUAUAUAUGAAACCAUAUUGUAUAUAUCCUUUUGUGUCUCUGUUUUGCCCAACAUUAUGUUUGUGAGAUUGAACUAUGCUGCUGUUUUAUAGCAAUUGUUUACUUAUUUUGUUACUGUAGAGCAAGUGUAGGCACACUACAUCCCAUGGGUGAAAUCUUGUAUAUAUUUCGGGGUGCACAUGUGUGUGUGUUUCUGCUUGCUAGAAGUGGAAUUUCUGUGUCAUGGAGAAUACAUAAAUUUAACUCUAGCAGAUACUGUGAAACAUUUUCCAAAGUGAUUGUACCAAUUUACACUCUUACAAGGACCGUGGUAGAGUUCCAUCUGCUCCACGUGCUUGCCAAUGUUUGGUGUUGUCAGACUUAAAUUAUUUUUAAAUUAUUUUUUAAAUUCACCAUUCUAAUUUUUUAAAAGAAGUAGAGUAUAAUGCUGGUUACCAGGGGCUGGAGUGGAGGGGUUGGGACAUAUUGGUCAAAAGAUAUAACAUGUCAGUUAUACACGAGUAAUUUUUAAAAAAUCAGUGAUUCUGGUAUGGCAAUAGAGUUGUCUCAUUGAGGGUUUAAUUUAUACUGCUGUAAUGACUAAUGAAGUUGAGCAAACAGAGCAUGUAUCUGAAGCCUUGUACAUUUGUAUAUUCUUCAUAUAGUGCUUACUCAAGUGAUUUGUUGAUUUGUCUAUUUGGUUGUCAGUCUUAUUCUUGUAUUUAUAGGAUUUCUUUAUAUUCUGCUUACAAGCCUUUUGACAUAUGUGUGUAUUGUGAUUAUCUUUUCAACUGUGGCCAGCAUUUUCACUUUCCUUAUGGUACAUUUGAUAAACAACCAUUCUCAUUUUAAGUUUUUUAAUUUUACUUUUCAGUUGGUACUUUAAAAAAUCGUUGCCAACAUUAGAGAAGGUCACAAAGAUAUUUUAGUAGCUAUUUAAAAAAAUCUUUUAAUUUUAAGAUCUAUAUUCCAUAUCAUAUUGAUAUUUACAUAUGGGAUGUGCUAAAGGUCAAGAUUAAUUAUUUUUCUAUGUGAAGAAUAUACAAUAUCCUCACUUCUUAAGAGAUUUCUCCAUUUUAUUAUCUUUGUCAAAUAUCAAAUGACUAGAUAUAUGUAAAUCUGUUUCUGAACUUUCUAUUAUCUUCCAUUAGUCUAUUCAUAUUUGCAUAUAUAGCACACUUUUAAUUACUGCAAAUACAUAAAAUGUCUUGAUGUCUUAUCGCAUAAACCCACCUCUUUCUAUUUUCUUUUGAUGUUUUGGUUAUUCUUGACUGUUGCUUUUGUUUACAGAUUUUAGACUCAGCUUGCCAGUUUUCACCAAAAAACUGCUGAGAAUUUUAUUAAAUAUAUAGAUUAUUCAAAGGAGCACUGAUAGCUUUACAACAUUGAAUUGUCCAGUAUCUGAAUAGCACCACAUAUUUUAAAUUUUCAUUGAAGUAUAAAUAUAUGUAGAAAAAUGUAUAUGUCAUAUGUGUCAUGAUUGUUUAAUUUUCAACACACUCAAAAUACCAGCAUCUGUAUCAAGAAACUGCACAUAACCAGCAUGUGGUAGCCAUGAAAAUGUAUUUCACAAAUAUUUUAAUGCAAGUAACCAAAGACCCCUAUUGUUGUGUUUUAAGGUCAAUCCUGUGUUUGCAUCAAGGCCAGAUUUUCUGAAGGCUGCUGCUCCCAGUCAAUAUCUGAGAGCAGUAAGGAUUCUAAGGUAGACCUGUUCAGGGAGACAUGGAUCUUCUCUGUUGGAUAGAUAAGAUUGUGAAUACCUGACUUUAAUGGCUUUUUCUUUAAUAUAACUUUUCUUUCUUUUUUUUGAAAUUUAGUCUCGCUCUGUUAUACAGGCUGGAGUGCAGUGGUGCGAUCUCGGCUCACUGCAACCUCCACCUCCAGGGUUCAAAGGAUUCUCCUGCCUCAGUCUCCCAAAUAGCUGGGAUUACAGACAUGCCACCACACCCAGCUAAUCUUUGUAUUUUUAGUAGAGACGGUGUUUCACCAUGUUGGCCAGGUGGGUCUUGAACUCCUGACCUCAGGUGAUCCGCCCGCCUUGGCUUCCCAAAGUGCUGGGUUACAGGUGUAAGCCACUGCACCUGGCCUAAUGUAACUUUUCUUAAGCUGUAUGGAAGUCUAGAAUGAUUUUAUCAAAUCUUCCUUUGUUGUUGUGUUGUUGUUGCUGUUGUUGUUGUUGAGACAGGGUCUCACUCUGUCACCCAGGCUGAAGUGCAGUGGCACAAUCUUGGCUCACUGCAACCUCUGCCUCCCCGGCUCAAGUGAUCCUCCAGCCUCUGCCUCCCAAGUAGCAGGGACUACAGGCACGUGCCACCACACCCAGUUAGUUUUUGUAUUUUUUUGUAGAGACAGAGUCUCACUUUGUUCCCUGGGCUGCCUUUUGUUCUUUACUCAGUGUUAGAUUUACAUCAUGGUGCAGCUUCUCUCCUGUUUUCUCUCACAAUCAUUUCCCCUAAUAAAAUUCUUACACAACUAA
rnacentral:lncRNA from 1 species